CUAGGAAAUAUGAUUAGCUUGAAUAUUCAAAAAUUUUAAUUUGAAUUAUCUAAAGGCUAUCAUAUUUUUUUUGAAAAAGAUUAAACUAAUUUAUGUUGAGUUUAUUUUCUCUCUUCUUUUCCCCUGUUGUCGUCCCCCUCUCUAGCUCCUUUCUCUUCUUCCUCCUUUGUGCCGCCCAAUAUUCUACUCUCCAUUAUUGCCACCAUCUCCUUGGCCAUUUGGUUGCCAAUUUUUCCACUAUCCACUUUUGAACCUCAUUGUUGUCAUCUCUACUCUCUUCUUUUUCUUCCUCUAUCGUCGCCGUGGUGAGCAACCACCAUUCUUGUCACUGUCGUCCAUUGUUCCUUCUUCUUUUCCUUUCCCUUGUCACAUUUUAUUGUUGUUGAAAUCUCGUUAUAAGCCCUAGGUCAAAUCUCUUUUUAGCACUCGUUGGUGAGUACUCAUCUUUUCUAUGUUAACUACAGAUCCAUAACGGAAAGUAUCCAAACCCCUUAGAUCAACAAUAACUUUGAUGAGUAUUCGCAACUCCGUUAGAAGCCAAAUAGGAUCUGAGUUAUAGCUAAUUGGAUCUCAAGCAUAAAAGUUGCGGAAAAGUGAUAGAGUUCGAUUUAGUGCAAUCAGGUGUGGGUCUAACCUUUGGGUGUUUAAUUGACUAUAUUUAAUAAUGUUAUGUGCAUGAUAAACCAAAAUACAUGCUGAUUUGUGCGUGGGCGAAUGAUCAUGAGUGGAUUAUCCACAAACCAUUGGUAGCUUGAUUGCAAAAUU